GGAGAGAUGCCCGAGAGGCCGAAGGGGCACGACUGGAAAUCGUGCGUACCGUCAGGUACCGAGGGUUCGAAUCCCUCUCUCUCCG
rnacentral:tRNA from 1 species